UCCCGUGUCAUCCUGGGGACAUGCGUGACCCCUCCCAGGUUUGCCUAGGGGACACGUGUCCCGUGUAGUUCCCGGGGACACGUGUGUCCCAUCCCGUGUUGCCCUGGAGACACGCGUGUCCUGUCCCGUGUCACCCCRGGGACACGCGUGUCCCGUCCUGUGUCGCCCUAGGGACACGCGUGGCCCAUCCCGUGUCAUCCUGGGGACAUGCGUGACCCUUCCCGGGUUUGCCUAGGGGACACGUGUCCCGUGUAGGCCCUGGGGACACGUGUCCCGUGUUGUCCCAGGGACACGCAUAUCCCAUCCCGUGUCACCCUGGGGACACGUGUGUCCUGUCCCAUGUUAUUCUGGGGACAYGYGUGACCCCUCCCGGGUCUGCCCAGGGGACACGUGUCCCAUGUAGUCCGCGGGGACACGCGUGUCCUGUUCUGUGUUGCCCCUGGGGACACGUGUGUCCCCUCCCGUGUCACCCCAGGGACACGCGUGUCCCCUCCCGUGUCCCCCCGGGGUCGCGCGUGUCCCCUCCCGUGUCUCGUGUCCCCUGGUCCCCGGCGUCACCCGUGACCCCGUGGACGCGCGUGUCCCCUCCCGUGACCCCGGGGGACACGCGUGAGCCCCCCUUUCCCUCCCCCCCCGGGCGCGCGUUUUGGGGUGAAACCGGGGGGUUUUGGGGUUAUAUAUAUUUUUUUUCU
rnacentral:lncRNA from 1 species